rnacentral:lncRNA from 1 species
CAAAGGAUAAAUUUUAAUAGAGUACAUUACAGCCAAUCAUUUUCCUUUGAUGUCUCAAAGAUCCAGAGUACAGUUUAUUUCCUCCUAUUUAAUCCUUUAGAAAACAUUUGCAGAGUACCAUUAACAUAAGUAAACUCUUCAAUAUCCCUUUAUCAAAAUGCCAUUACCAGUUACAAGUCUCCAAUUUUUAAUGCACUUGCCUCAGAUAACUUCUCUCACUCUAUAAUACCCAGCUUAAACCUACUCCCUCAUUUUAAUACUCAAAUACUUGCAGCCAUGAUAGAGGAGUAGAAUUUCCUAUGAAGAGUCUCAAUAAGGAGGAGAUAAAUCAGAUCUUCCUUGUGAGGAGCUAUCCUACCCAUAGCAGGACAAUUAGCAUGCCAACCUCUCCCCAUACCCACCACAGAAUGCCAACAGAACCCUAUAACUAUGGCAACAAUCAAAAAAGGUGGCAUAGGUAUCUCAACCACUAGGUAGAAGGUACCAGCCCUAUUCCUACUGAAAACGCAUUAAAGUGAUUAAAAGGAACGUCUUAAAAACAGAGGUUGGGCCUGAGCCUUCUGAAAUGGACUACAAGUGUUAAGAACUUCAGCUCUGGAAUCCAACUGCCUAGACCCAGAUCUUCUGAAUUUUUGGAAGGUUUGAAGAGAUUCGUUGACAUUUAUGAUCCAGUUCUACUCACCAGUAUUUAUCACCUUUGUCUGCAAGAAAUAUGCUUACAAUCACAGUGUAUUGAAGUUAUGGAUUCAGACAGAAUCUCUUUGCGAAUGUGGACAGCAGACUGCACUCUGUCUUUUCAUGCUGUCAUAUUCCUUUGUUGAUAUCUCUGUUUUAAGAUGAGUUUGCCCCAUGCAUCACCAAUUGUCUUUUGUUUUCACCCUGUAGGGAAGACUGGGC